rnacentral:rRNA from 1 species
UACGGGGGGGCAAGCGUUGUUCGGAAUUACUGGGCGUAAAGGGCUCGUAGGCGGCCAACUAAGUCGGACGUGAAAUCCCUCGGCUUAACCGGGGAACUGCGUCCGAUACUGGAUGGCUUGAGUUUGGGAGAGGGAUGCGGAAUUCCAGGUGUAGCGGUGAAAUGCGUAGAUAUCUGGAGGAACACCGGUGGCGAAGGCGGCAUCCUGGACCAAUACUGACGCUGAGGAGCGAAAGCCAGGGGAGCAAACGGG